GUUCUUCACCUCCCACAGGCCCAUGGCACUGCCGGUAGCCAAGGCCACACAGCCACCUCGACUGUACCCUGAAAGGGGGAGGAGAGAAAAUGCAGGCUUUUCUUCUACUGCUUGAGGGAGUUUGUCUAAGGUCCAUCUUUAACAUUCUAUGGUUCCUCCUGAGUUGGGCCAGGAGAUGAGAAGAAAAAGAGUUCCAUUUUCUCUGGUCAAUAGAACAGAGGUUCAAAACCUUUCUUAUGUCCUGGACUCCUACUCAGCCUGAUGAAGCCUACAUUCAUCUUCUUGGAAACAUUUUGAAUGCUCUGCCAGGCUGUGGAUGCUGAGCAGGUCCCCGCCCCCCCUCAGACAUGCCUUCUUGGAUUCGUGCCAACUUCGUUUCUCUUGUAACAAGCGGUAGCAAUGGGAUUGGAACGGUCGCCAGCUCGGCUCACACUCGACCUUCACACCAGUCCAGGAAUCUAAAGGACAGGGAAUAGGGAAACAUAUACAUUAACCCUCCCCAUUCCUUGCCCGAAGAUGGAUUGCCAAGAUCCUCUCAUCACUUUAUCAAGAAAAUAAAAACUCCUUAAUUAUUCUUGAGCUCAGA